rnacentral:tRNA from 1 species
AGGAAGGUUCCGUUUGUGGGUAUGACGGGUUGAGCUGUAAACUCAUUAGCUAUCAUAGCUGUCGAGAGUUCGAGUCUCUCCCUUCCUA